UACUUGCAGGCUGCCUUUUAUUUCUCUUCCUCACAGCUUGGCUCUCCUCUCUACUUCUUAGAAGGUAGGACAUGGUCCUCUUUGCCCCUGAGAGGAGAGACUGAGCCUGAGAACUUGUCAUUGAAGCUCUCAAAGGACAGGGCUGCAUGACAGCAGCAGGAUGGUACCUGGACAGGGAGAAGCAAGAUCUCUGGACCCUGUGUGGCUGAUGAGUGUGAGUCCUCAAGGGUUUCUCUGGCCUUUGAUACUUGGUGACUGGGUGAAAGCACACCAGGAAGAAACCCAAAGCAAUCCUCCCGGUUUUUUCACUCCCCGAGAUCUGGAGUGUAACUCUAUGGGAGCUCACACAGCUCUCCAGGAAGCUCAGUGAAACAAGCACCAGUCUUCUCAUCCCUGCUCUUAGGCCUGGACCCUUUGGUUUUUUGGGCUCAGGGGUCUCCAUGUUUCCAUAGGGAAUCUGGGACAAGGCUUUCCAGACACGACUAGCAUCUUGGGUCUCUGCAAAGACCUCUCUGUGAUCCUGUGAGUGAAUCUUCUCUCAAGCCAGUGAGUAUAUUGUUCUUGGAUUAUGGAUGGGGUCUGCAAGGGGCUCCAGGGCAGGGUGGAUGGUUAGACACUUUGCUCCUUCCCACCUGACCCCAGGAGAACCUAGAUCAUUAGUGUGGAGGCUACAGAGAGAAAAAAUGCUAGCCCAAGGCCCCAUAUGGCAUUUGCUGGCACACAACCUUCUGGCCUGCAGCCAAAGAGUGGCUGCAUCUGACUGAGCAGUGAAAAACGAUCCAAGUGCCAGGCGCUGUUCUAGGACUCAAAUGUGUGCAUGCACACCAUUGAAAGAGCCUGCCGAGCAGUUACCACCAGCUCCACAUCACAGGUGAGGAAAGAAGCAGCUAGCUCCAUGGUUUGGGCACAGCUGAGUGACCCUUCUACCUGUAGGCUGGCAGCAAAGUGUACAAUCUACUCUCUGAAUAUGUCUGAAUAUGUCCAAUGUAGAAGCUCAUCCUGUAUAGCCCCUGAAGAUGCUCAGCCGAAAUAGAUCUCCCUUUUCAGAGGUCCCGGAGCAACAGCCUAAGUUGAGCUCUUAUGCUGGACAGUGCUACCUGGGUCUGCUUGCUUGGUCCCAUGAUGCCCCUUUGAAGACUUGGAAAAGACAAUCACAAGGCAAUACAUGUAUACUCCCAAUCGUGGUGAGCUGCCAUGUGGGUGCUGGGAACUAAACCUAACCUAGCUCUCUUGCAAGAGUAGCAAGUGCUGUUAACCACCCAGCUAUCUCUAGGGCCCCUUGUUCCACUUUUUAAGCUUCAUAGCGUUUGGAAAUAUUCAGCCUAUUUCAUAGAUGAGACGAUGAGAUUUGGAGAACUUACUCUGCUUUAAAAGCUCCAUUUUAGCUUCCGGGGCCAGCUCUGGGUCACCAGCUCUUUCUGUUCUAUAGCUCCGAGCUCUUGAUAUCUGAGUACAAACAGGUGUGGGCCUAUCCCUUAGCACCUCACCUCACUGGCCAUCUCCCUCUUUCCCCCUGAACUAUAUAUGGCUCCUGUCAAGUUCCCUUGGGAUACCUUCCCGGAAGCACUGACGGAUUCUGUUGGUCUGGAGAAAAGCAGUAGUUUCCUCUUGUGAUCUGGAGGCUUGUAGGAAGUGAGCCAGGCUGAGGGAGGCCAGCCUGGCUCCAUUGGGGUCUGUUGAGCAACCCAUGGGUCCAGACUCACAUCCCUAGGACGUUGCUAGUCUCUUCCUUUGCUCUCAAUCCACAGGUGGGUGGACACUACCUUUCUGGGGGCUGACAUAUCAUAGGAACUCAUACUUCCUCAGAGUGGCUCAGACCCCAGCAUUAACUGCUCCUUAGGCCUGCCUCCUCCUCCCAUUGGCCCACAUCCCUGGUUCAUGUUCAAGGCUAAUUCUUGGCCUCUUCUUCCUCGGUAGGGUCCAAGUGAGGGGUGGAGUCACUAAUACAACAGCUAGUCAACUCCCCAGCCCACGGCCUACUCUUCCUAUUGCUUAUGCCAUGCAAUCUCUAUCAUUUAUCAAGCUUUCCUGGGGCUCCUCCCUUCAUUCAAAGCAAAACAUUGAGCACCCAGAAGGCCUGUGUGCCUUGCCUUUCAGGACCAUCUCUUGCUUUUCCUUCAUUGACUUAGUUCCGGCAUGCAGGUCUAUUUACUGUUCCUGACCCAGCGUCCUUACACUUGCCAUUUUGUCAGAUGUCUGUCUGGGUUACUCCUUCACCUCAGCGAGCUCUCCUGAGCAGAUGGCUCCUCCACCUAGAAUGACGCCACUUCCUCUCUUUGCAGUUUUCUGCGUGCCCCCUAUUAGUUUUCCAUUGUUUCACUGCAUUAGAAUAUGUGUUCCAUAAAGGCGGAAGUCUUUGUUUAGUGUAUUCAGUAGCACCUGCAGCAAGGCGGGCGCUAGAGAAAUAAGACUGUACCAGCCAGAGACAUGGGUCAUCUAUAUGUGCUCUGCAGGCAAGACUAGGUGGGAUCUCACCUACUGGCUGUGGUGAUUUUUAAUUAAUUUGUACCAUGUCUUACACAUUAUAAAUGCCAAAUAAAUCACUAUUAUAAGGAAGAAACGACAUUUUGUGAUGUGAAAAAAAGAAAAUGCUUAGAAAUAAAAUCAGAUAAAAGUAGGUAUAAAGAGUUGGAACUCUGAUUUUCCCCAUAACUUCCUAAAACUUCUUUUAUAAAUUCUAAAUUGAGCCCAAGAUCUGCCCAUCUGUUUCUGAGGCUCUUUUUUGCCAGUGGCCUUUCCCUGUAUGGAAUCCUGCUUUGGUACAGGACCUGGCUCCCCACUGAUUGCUGUAAACCUUCAUGAAGCAUCCUGGUCCAGGCUUUGUAAGGACGACUGCUCACACAGACGUGCCAGGCAGAGGGUAUCUGCCCUUCCCUCCCACACCUCACAGCCUAAGGGGUCAAGGGCAUAGACUGCAGUGGUCUGUGCCUGGCUGGGGUGCCCUUCCUGUGGGACCACAGGAACAGUUUUAGUUUUUCAGGACUCAGAAAUCGAGCCGGUGAUUAGGCAGCGAGAGCAGUUGGGCUGUGGCCACACAGGAGAUCUGCAUCCAGGCAGGGGCUGAGAGCAGAGCCCUUGCCUCCCAGCCUGAGGUCCUUCAACAUGCUCUUUGGAGCUCCUGCAGGCAGCCUGGGUUCCCCUAGAGAGUGCCAUGGCCUUGACCCUGUGAAGCCUACAGGGCGGUUCAGCACCCCUGGGGCCAUGGAACUCAGGGUUGCUGAGGCCUGCAGGGCUGGCUGGAGGCGUGGGAGUCAGGGCAAAGCCAGUUCUCACUGCGGCCCUCUCUCCAUCUGAGCUCCCUUCUCUCUUGCAACCUUUAUGGGAUCUGAACUCCCAUGCUCCCCCUUGCCCUUUGAGAUGGAGAGUCCUUUCGAAUGUCUUUGGGGAGAACACUGCUUACCUUCUUGGGACAGAAUCUCCCAAGGCUCAAGAGAAACCUGAUCACCAGAGCUAGAGGGGCUGUUGAUGCCUUGUUGUCCUACUGGAGACAAGGAACUAAGAGCAUCCAAGGGAAGGGUCUCAAUUAGUGUUCAGGGCAACCAGGGAACCAGAGUCACGGCAGAUGUGCCUCAAACUCCAGGGUUAUUUGCUGUCUCUGGCUGGUGUCUGGACAUCUACCUCACAUACUUGGUAACAGUACACUUACUGGGUCAGUUCAUUAGUAUUGAGAGCUUCCUGUCUGCCCUUGUUCUCCUGACCCAGAUUCAAGGGUCAAGUCCACAGCCAUAGACCCCUUCCUGUUUUCUCAGUUGGUGCCUUGAGGGACCCCUACUAGCUGGGUCACAGAAGGGACUGCACAUCUCCACAGCACACAAAAGGUCAGAGACAAUGCUUGCUCAUCCUUCUCUCUCAUGUAUUCAUUUUUUUUCCGUUGAGCCUCUGCUAUGCCGUGUGCCAGAAACUGCUCCAGUGACCAAAACACACUGAUGAAAACAAAUAAUGCUGGACCCCAAGGAUUUCAUUGGCCUUGUUUUUGACUCGUUCUCGCCCACAGCAUAGUCUCUUGCAGCUGUGAGGCCCACAGCCAAAAGAGCAAUUGAUCAAGGCAAUAAGGAGACAUCGGAAGCACAAGUUGGGGCAAGAAUGGGUUAAGUUCCAGCCAUACUUUUCUCCACCCAGAAAUUACAGGGGUUCCCUUUGACUCUUGCAGGACUAGAGGCAGAGGAGUCUGUGGGGACAUUAGAACAUCUGGUAGCCAGGCCAGGGCAGGGAGCAAGAAGCACAAAUAGACCCAGGUAUCUUCCUGGUCUGAAGUCCCUGCCUUCAGGUCCUGUUGGUCUGGUCUACCCAUCCCCGCCAAGCCAUUGCCCCCAGACCACCACAAGGCCUUGAUUCCAUCUCCUGCCCUUGCCUCUCGGCCUGACCCUGCUUAUCAAAUUGCAGAGCCCGUUUGGGAGUUAGCUCUCCACAGAAACCCAGGCUGAGGCAAGGGUCUGAGAUGAGAGGUUCAGAUGUGGGAGGAGGAUACAGCUGGGCUGGAUGAAGACUUCUGGCAGGAGAGGAGCUCAGCUCUGGGGAGGUGCCAGAGGAGGUGGGUAGAGGUGAGAUAGCAGAGCAGUGAGCUCAUUGUAUAGGGCAGGAAAUGAAGUGGCUAUAACCUGAGGACCGGAGGUACCACAGGCUCCUGAGUUCUUCCCCAAAUCCCUACCUUGAGCUUUCAAACCCCACUGUUCAGAACAUGCUCGUUUGGAUAUAGAACAGUUUGCUUGUGUUUUUGGCAGUGCUGAAUGGAGGUGGAGCUUGAGAGCUCACACAAGUUAGGCACAUGCUCUAGCUGAGCUAUACCUGAACAUUAACCAGAACUUUAAAGACGUAAUUAAGGUAAAACGAUAUCCCCGGGGAGGCUCUAAGCCAAUGUGCUGGUGUCCUAAUGAGAAGAGGUGAUUGAGGCAGAGAAAAAGAAAAAGGUCAUAUGAAAAAGGAAACACACCCACAAGCCAAGGAGUGAGGUUUCAGAGCACAGCCUACCAAGGCAAUGGUUUUGGACUCCCAGCCAGCUAGAACUAUGAGGAAACACAUUUCUGUUGUGGAAGUAUUCUAACCAGGGUGUUUGUUACAGUGGCCCCAGCUAAGUCAUCUAGGAGUCAGGCUCUUUGAUUAUGAUCCUCUUCCCUGUCCCAGGCAUGCAUGCCUGUGGACCACGAGGAGAGCCAUUAUCCAAGGACUCUGCUGGGAAAAGACAAAUGCUAGGGCCAGAGUCCUGGUUUAUUAUUUCCAUGUGUUUGAGUUCAAUGGAGCCUCUUGUGUCUAUGAGGCACGUCCAGAAGAGAAGGUGACAUUCAUUAUAUGAAAACCAGGCCAGCCUUUGAAGGGAAUGGGUGAGUUGCCUUUGCUUUCAAUAAUGCAGGAGAAAAGCAGAUGUGACAGUGCCAGUACAAGAAGAUGGAUCAGCCAUGGCCCAGCCGCUGUCUUCUUCAUGGCACUUCAAGGAGGGAGGUGACCGUUUUACUCCUUGAGCCAUCAGAAAGCCUAUGAGGAAGAAUUCAUAAACACACAGCUCCUGACUGGGAGGCAUCAUUCAUGAGACUCCUGGAUGUAGCAGGUGCUGAAGGGAGAAACUGACUGUCCAUGGAAUAAUUAUAAGGAUAGCUCACCUUUUCCUUCUCCAGACACUACAGACUCCGUGUUCUAAACAGUGUAGUGUUGUCAUCUUCUUCAAGCCUCAGCAAAGCCCAACGAUGCAACGCUGUUUCUUCCCUUGCUUUAUUUUAUGAGAAAUGUGAGGCACAGGGAUUCAGUGACGAGGCCUAUAACAGAUGCUAAGAAGUACGAGCGAUACAGUCAGGCGUGAGGGGAAUGUGAAGAGGGAAGGUCCCCUGGGAGGAGGUUAGGGAGCAGCCCUCUGGGCCACCCUUCCAAAGUCUUGCCCUCAAGAGGGACUUUAGGACAUUCACUAGACAGUCAGAGAAGAAUGACUGACUCUUGUUUGGGAACAGGGAGCAAUCAGGACAAGGAAGACAAGCUGUACUGAGACUACUGGCUACAGAGAUAAGUAAAAAACGUCAGAUGGAUAAAGUGUGAACGAUGACACACAGCUAGCUACCUCAGGUACAGGGAGACAGAGCUCGAAGCGUGCAGAUUUGUUAAACACCCACGCCUCCCUGAACAGUACUGUGGUAAGGGCUCUGUUUUAUCUUGUGUUUACUUAUUUUUUAUACAACAUCCACAAUGCUCACAGUUGUUUUUUUUUUAGAAAUGUUUUAUUAUUUUACUUAUUCACUUUACAACCUGCUCUCUGCCCCUUCCCAGUCAUCCCCUCUCACAGUACCCCCCCAUUCCCUGCCCUUCUCCUCUGAGUGGGUGGGGGUCCCCCUGGGUAUCUCCUCACCCUGGCUCAUCAAAUAUCUGUGAGGUUAGGCUCAUCCUCUCCCACUGAGGCCAGACAAGACAUCCUAGCUAGAAGAACAUACUUCACAUGCAGGCAACAGCAUACUUAGUUUCUUAUUUUUGUUCCUCUAUAGAGUACAGACAGUGGAAAGAACUAUGGGCUAUAGUUGGCUGCCUUUCUGUGCACAAUGUGACUUGCUGUGUCACCUUGAAGCCAAGCAAGUACCUCUAGGACACCAUGAAGCAACGUGAAUUACAGUGGUCCCUGUGAUGCCCACGAGGAGAUUUUAGUAUAGUGACUCCCGUGACACCCCUAAAGUCAUUAGAGCACAGUGGCCCCAUGUGCGUGAUGGCUUCUAUCAGCUUGAGCAAACUUGGACUAUUUCUGGAAGACUUGGGUAAGAGGAGGACUUGGUGUCAUUUAGUAGGUGAAUGGAUAAGACCCAGUUGGCUGUGGAGUUUUCCGUCUGGAGUCUCAAAGAGAAAGGGUGAGGAUGUGUGUGUCUUCAUGGGGUGAAGCAAGCUAGGCUGCUUCCCACGGCUGAUGGGAGGCCUGACACCCAUGUUUCCACAGCUGUAAGAAGGAUGUGCUCUAGUUUUUAGCCAAGGCCCUGGGUUUGCAAUCAGGCCUGGAACAGUGGCCAUAGAAAAGGCAAUCAGAAGCAAUGAGCUGUGUGCCCCCGUUUUUUUUUUUUUCUGGAUGAACACUCCAUUUAAUAAGCCCAAGAAAAAAACCCCGGAAACUGGAAAGAUAAAGAAAGGGCCAUUAGCUGUCCGUGCUCACCACAAAUGUGAUGUCUUUUUUGUAAUCACAGGAACUGUCACCUGAGAACAUAUGUUUCUGUCUCCUGAUGCAUUCUCCAGGGAGGGAGGCUGCUUCCAGGGGACACAUCAUGUAGUUACAGGGUGACCAGAAGAGAGGAGAAAGAGGAAGGUAAUAGCAGUGGUCCUGGAGAAAGAUGAUGGCAGUCUAGGGAGGAAGGAUGAAUGUUAGGACCCCGUGAAUGUCUAUUUCUUAGCUGGGGAUGUAACAGGUGAUGGUACGAGGUACCAGAGAGGCAACCAUGACCACAAAUAUAUCCCCUUAUCUGUUCAACUACAGAGGAUUUUGGGAAAGGUUGCUUCUUUUGGCCUCUCAUCUCUAGGGAUGAGAAGAAUCCAGCCCAACUCCUCCCAUCCCAGACCCUCCCUACCCCCGCCAAGGAAGAGCCUGUCACAGGAGAAGGAUAACACUCCCGUGUCCAAGUCUUCAUUUCACUUGCAGCUCGGCACUAAUCCAAUUGCUGCCUCUAACCUAAUUCUCCAUUGUUGCUAGAGUCCUUUGCUUUGCUGAUAUUAAAACUCUUUUCAUUUAAUUGUGCACAAGAUAGAUCCUCCUUGGCCAUCAGGUGGUAAAUAUAGAAUAGCUGAUGUGUAGCUCUAAUUUCUUCCCUGGCAGGCCUCCUGCAGCUCUGAGUAAUUGGGGACCACAAUAUUCUGAAAGGAAGGAGACAGGAAGGGAGAGCAGGAAGAGGCCUCUGCCUGACAUUAUCAGAAGGUCACAGGUAAAAGGCGUCUGCCCAUGUCUAUAGGGUCAGCUGCUUUUCCCCUGACUUUAGUAUGUCACAUGAUGACUAGAACCCUUAGAUGCACAAGAAUCUAGAAUUUCUGAAGCAAAGGUGAUUACGGGAUGUUGUUCCAUUGUCCAGAAUGUAAGGGACCAUAUUAUCCUCCCCAAGAGUUGGGUAAUAAGUCCCUCAUUCUCAUUCAAGGGUAGAUACCCCUGGUCUCUGUGCAAGGUCACCAAAGAGCCACACAAUAUCAUAGCUCUUUUAUUCUCUAAGGCCCCAAGUGAUGAUGAACUGUAAUCUUGUUUGGUAAUCACAAGGUUUCCCAGCAAGUCAAGGAAAGGGGAGAUAUCAGUGCAGAUGUCUUGAUUUCCAGGUCGGGGAGAAAGUGUAUGGAAGGUGGGACCACUGUGUGUUCCCAUAGGUAGGGAGGGACAGUACAAUGCAAGAGGCUCCAGGUGCCCUUAGCAUGCUCCGAGUUCUUUCCCAUUCACCCAGAAGAGUGGGGCUCCAGUGUCAAUCACUGAUCUAGUUUAGGAUCACAGCCCCCUGUAGAGGAAGAAGGAAGCAUCCUUGGAUGAACCACUGGUCAACAGGCAGGGACCUGCUUGGUUGUGACUACAGCUUCCUGGAUACUCGUGCCUUCCUGAUUCCCCUAGGCUCUGGAAAAUACAGCAAUCUCCUCCGUUUUCUCAAGGAGAGUGACAGCUUUCUUUGGGUCAGUUGCUAACUCCCUGAGCUUCUAGGGUCAUCCCGCAAGACCAUGGGUGAACCUGGGUUUUUAGACUGUCCAGUUUCCCACCAGAAACUUCCCUGCACUGCAGUUCACUGGGUUCUCCUAUCACCUCUGCCCUUUAAGAGCUGGUAAAAACAUUUCUCCCAGGCUGGGUCCUAGGCUACCUUUGUUCUCUCCAGCUUCACAGUGAGAUAUGGAUCUAGCAUUUGAUGAGGCUCCUUUUUCCUGAAAACCUAGGGAUCCUUGAGGGCCCUUUCCUUAAGGGCCCUGUUACCUUCGAAUCCUCAGGCAGGUUUUCCUAACCAGACUCCAGCACAGCACAUCUCAGCAAGGAUCUGCCUCUCCACUUCUCCACCUGUUGCUGACCCAGGACUCUCAGGACAAAAGGAGAAGACUCUCAGGGGUCAAGUAGCCAUAAAACCCUCUCAACUAUGGUCCUGAAGACACCAAGGUGCUUUCAAAGACUCUAUCCUGGAUUGGUCCCCACUGAUGCAUAUCUCAGAUUCUAGUGCCAAGCAUUUUAGCUUGCAGGUGAAUCACCCUCCUCGACUUUACAUUUUCAGAACCAGGAUCAGCUGGGCACAUGAUGGCUGGAAAUACUGGCCCAGAUGGUCUACUCACAAGUGUAUCAGGGCCAGACUCAUCAUAGCUCUCAGAUCCUUUCGACUCAGACAAGGAAAACUGAGGCCAGGGACCUAGUCUAGAAGGUAUAGUCACUGAGCCUCCUGCAUAACAUCCUAAGGAUCUUAAAAUUUCAGAUUCUGAUCUAGGAUCAGAUUUCUGUUACUGCAGUAGAACACUGACGGACAGUUUACAAAAACAAUGGUCAGAACCAUAGGAAUCUAACUCCAUCUCCACCCUCUACCAGCUGGGUGACCUCUCACAAGUUGCCUAACCUCUCUGGCCAUCCGUUUCCUGAUCUAAAAUAUGAGGAUUAUAGUGGUAUCUGUCUCCUGAGGUGGCCUGAGAUGCUAUAGAGAUAGCGUUUCCAAAGCCCAGCACAGCAUCUGGCAAGAGGCACAUGAUAAUUAAUUACCUCACACUUCCCCUCAAACCAGUGCAAACCAUAAUGAGCACUAGCGAUUCCAGCAACCACCAAGCAAGCAUUUAAUUUAUUGUCUUGGAAAACGGAAGGGCCCGUAUCAAGGGACUCUUUGGAUGGCGUUUGCAGAAAGAAGGAAUGCACAGAUAUCUUUUCCUCCUCCACAGAGAACCAGGAAGGGGGGGGUGCAGAUUCACUCUGUCCCUCUUCAAACUGUCUACAGGAAGCAGGGGAGGCACAAAGUUAGACCACCACUGGCUUCCCCCUGGGGGGCUUCCAAAAGUCAGGGAUGCCUUGACUUCUGUAUGCGUGAGUUUCUUGUUUUGUUUUUUUUUCCCUACUGAUUUCUACUGCAUAGGGGGAGCUUCUCAGGAAGCCUUGGCAGAGUGCUAAGCAAAGAUGUGAGUUCUUCCCAGUGAUGGGAAUAGAGGGACCUCCCUUGCCUAGCACAAAACACUAAAGGAGCAUCAGGAGCUCAGAACAGUAGCUCUCCUUGUUCAUGGAUCAUCCUAUGCUUCAAAAUAAACUUACGUAUUGGGCAUAGCAUAGUAAGAGAGAGACAAACAACUAUGAAUAAAAACCAGCCACAGCAUACUUCAAUAAAAGUUGCAAGACCAUAGUCAUUUUCUCUGUCAGUAUGUCUUAAUGUAUUGGGCUCACAUAUUCUGUGAUGCUGUGGGUGACAUGAUGUCCAGGUGCCAAGAUGAAAAGAAGGGGAUGGUCCUGGAGAGCCUGCUAGACUGUGAGGAGAGAGGGUUCUGGAAGGCAAACCAUGUGAUGCUACGAGAGUGGAUCUGAUAGCCAAUAUGGCUGUUCAGUGGCUAGUAGGCCAGUGGGAGUAUACACACAGUGGACAUGAUAGACCAACGGAUGGUCCCUGGUUCCUGGUUCCUGCUGGUGAGUGUGUAUGGAUCUUGCCAGUAUUAAUGUAAUCACAUUCCCCAGAAUAAGUUGUUUAGUUCUGAAAUUUUCCACUUAAUAUUUUAGAUUGUGGUUGAAUAGAAGUAACUGAAAUCAAAGAAAGCUCAAGGGAGGGCUAUUAUAAUAUUUUAUUAACAUCGUGUAUUAAAAGAUUUAAAAUUAGUUUUAAAAAUCCAUGAAAACCAAAGCAUCAAACUUUUAAGCAGAAAGACGUCAAUCUUGGAUCUGUGGCCUCUGAAAGCAACUGCCUUCUGCCUAAUGUGCCUGAUCUUCAGGAUUAACUCUUUUGAGGCCAGUGCUGCCUGUGGCUCUUAGAAUCCAGACUUCUGAGAGCUCCACAGUAGCUCAGCUGUGAGAGGCUGGGAUGCACCCAUGCCCUCUGCUUUGAAGGAUGAAAGGAGAGAAGGGCAUUUAGCUGCAGAGAAGACUGGGAUGCAAUCUGGAAGGAAGUUACCUGCAAGUGAACAGGCGAGACUCUGCCAAGGGGCCCCAACAUCUGCUUCCCUGCAUCUAUCUAUGGGACUCUUACUGUGGCUCACUUUUGUACAGAAAUGUAAGGAACUAUGGAUUGAUGCUGUAAAUGCUGUCAUCGAUGCUGUAAAUGAAGCUAUGCUGUCGUCGAGGACACGGUGAGCCAGUGUUUCCCACUCCAGACAUCAGGAGUCCUCUCUGCUGGUGACCUUUGUGACUUCCAGGUCCAGUCCAGUCUUCUCAGUCAUCUUCACAAUCAUCUAGUCUGAGAGGUCUUUCCCUCAAGCACACAUUUGAGACCUGUGUGCUGAGCUGUGGUGUAGCCGCACAGUCUUGAAUUUUCAACUAGCAUCAGCACACAUUCAAAGUUAAGUUGUACCAAAAGGCCAGAGUGAAGUGGGCAUUGCAAAUGGGUCCGUUUUCUCCAGGGCCAGUCUCACCUCUAGGCUGCGGUCACCCUUACUUCUUUUGGAUCUUUCCUCCCUUAUUUAGUUCCUCAGUACAUAGUAGGUGUAUGCAUGGUUUCAUCAUUUAUUUUUUGCUUUGUUCAUUCAUUCUUCCAUUCAUUUACCUUGUUAUGGCAAAUAUGACUUAACUUCCUCAUGUCCUUUCUGCCCCCUUUCCCUCCCUCUUCUCCACUAGCUAUCUUGCCAUUGAAUAAAAGCAACUAUUGAGUCCAGUUGUACCUUGGCGUUCAUUCUCCUUUAUCCAAUGCUCGUUUUCCCUCAAAUUAAAUGUCCCCUUUCUUGUUGCCUGAUGCCUUUUGUCUAGGACCCUUCCUUCCAAAUCGUUAGUGUCUGUCUCCUUUCCUUCACAUGUGUCUGCCUCAUUCAUGUCCUCUAUUCUGGUUUGGAGCUGCAGUUUGCUGGGGUUGACACCCAGGCAUGUCUUAGAGCACCGAGCCUCUUCAUGCCACAGCCCCUUUCCUGCUCCCCUCCGUUAAGUUCUACAUGCUCUGGAUCUCUUUUCUUCCCCCUCCUUGGUUUGGGCCCUUGUUUCAGUGGCACACUGCCUUCCAGAGCACCUGAGGACAGAACACCC